rnacentral:tRNA from 1 species
AUUUAUAUAGUUUAGAAAAACAUUACAUUUUCACUGUAAAGACAAAGGCAACUUUUAUAAAUA